GUCCAGGGUAGCCUAGUGGACAUGGCAUCUGCCCGGUAAGCGGAACGUUGUGGGUUCGAUUCCCGACCCUGGACA
rnacentral:tRNA from 1 species